AGUAAUGUAUGGGGAUUUGCCCGAUAGAGGGGGAUAACUACUGGAAACGGUGGCUAAUACCGCAUAAUGUCUACGGACCAAAGCAGGGGCUCUUCGGACCUUGCACUAUCGGAUGAACCCAUAUGGGAUUAGCUAGUAGGUGGGGUAAAGGCUCACCUAGGCGACGAUCUCUAGCUGGUCUGAGAGGAUGAUCAGCCACACUGGGACUGAGACACGGCCCAG
rnacentral:rRNA from 1 species